UUGUAAUUCAACGCUAUGGAACUAUCAGCAAAUAGAAUUGUUUUGGUUGCACUGGUAUCCACACUGCUGAAUGAUCAAAUAUUUACAGAACAUUUAAAGAAUGCACAAGGCAUUUGUGAAAGGUGCAAUGGAAUUUGCAAUCCGCAAUUUUGUAAAAUUAAUGUGUCAUGCCGCCCGUUAAAUCGAACUUCCAAAUGGUUGACACUUGACAUUACUUUCCAUAAAGGAGUCGUACUCAGUGCUCCGUUGAUUAUAGACGUUGUUGCAUACAAAAAAUUCAGAACCGAAUACCGACAAUUUAUGGUGAAAUUGAAAGCCGAAUAUUGUCAUGAGCUAGCCAAAAAAAAUCAUCCUAUCUUCAAAUUUUUUGAUGAGAUCUCAUUAAAAGACGGAACAUUAUUUGA